UACGGAGGAUGCAAGCGUUAUCCGGAAUUAUUGGGCGUAAAGCGUCCGUAGAUGGUUUUGCCAGUCGGCUGUCAAAGCACAGGGCUUAACCCUGUAAAGGCAGUGGAAACUACAAGACUAGAGUGCAGUAGGGGCAGAGGGAAUUCCCAGUGUAGCGGUGAAAUGCGUAGAGAUUGGGAAGAACAUCCGUGGCGAAAGCGCUCUGCUGGACUGCAACUGACAUUGAGGGACGAAAGCGUGGGGAGCGAACAGG
rnacentral:rRNA from 1 species